UACGAAGGGGGCUAGCGUUGUUCGGAUUUACUGGGCGUAAAGCGCACGUAGGCGGAUCGUUAAGUCGGGGGUGAAAUCCUGGAGCUCAACUCCAGAACUGCCUUCGAUACUGGCGAUCUUGAGUCCGGAAGAGGUGAGUGGAAUUCCUAGUGUAGAGGUGGAAUUCGUAGAUAUUGGGAAGAACACCGGUGGCGAAGGCGGCGACCUGGUCCGAUACUGACGCGAGGCGCGAAACGUGGG
rnacentral:rRNA from 1 species